CCCUAGCACACUGCUCUGUAAACAGCAAGCAGGCAUUUGAAAUGUGCCAUCCUUAGCUUAGGAUGUGCGAGUAAAAUUCAGUAUUCUUGAUUUGAGAUAAAUUAAAGGACAUUUAACUUCUAACUCUUCUUCCUGAAGAGUUAGCAAAUUCUGGAAGGACACAGGAAUCCAGUCUAGCACAAAGGUCUAAUAAAAAAAUCCUCGUUAAAUGCCUUUCAAUAAUCAUUUUAAAUGAUCACAAAAAGUGCUUAAGAUGAUAUGGUCAAAACAAACAUUAUUUCUUUAAAACUGUAUUGUUUCUCUUUGAGAUUUUUUGAGAAUUGCUCCUUCCCCUCAUCUUUGGCCCAAGUGGCCCAAGUGUAUCUACCCUUUAUGGGAAAAUUGUGAGUCUGCUUGGGUGAGGCAAAGACACACAUUCCUCUCUUGAAAGAACAGACUUGCAUUCCUAUGAGUAAAAUAAAUUAGGCCCAGUUUCUCUGUCCAUUAAUUAUGUGGAAUAAACAACCUUCUCCUGUUCAGAGAGAAGCACAGGAGACCAGCACAAAUUUCCUCCACAGGCUCAGGGGAAAGAUCACUUGAUCAUUCAGGAGAACUCCUGUGGUCUGGGAGGACUCAGAGAAUUGGAACAGGCCCGGCUCUGCUGCCAGAUGUUUCUAAGAAAUCCAGUAAUGAAGACAAUCCCAUGAUAUGAUCCACAGAGGAUUGCUGCUUUGCGGGGAGAGGGGGCUAGAAUUGCAGAAGAGCAACAGAGUGAGAAGGAAUUUGCAUCCAGCUCUGACCCUGGGGAAUAUCCCAAUCUUCAACCCUGAAGCAGCAUAUGGAGUCUAGGAAGCGUAUGGGGCCAGGCUGUAGCAAUACACCCAGUUAAAACAUCCGCUUCCCAGAUGCCUUUGCACAGUAGAGUGGUCACAUGAUCCACUUCUGGCCAAUGAGAGGGCAUCUUGAGACAAUGUUCUGCCUACACAAAAUUCUAAACUGAGAGGAGUGGCUCAGAAGCUCUACUAACAUGGAAUCACAUGUGGGUUGCAGGAGGCUGGAGACUAUCCCAGCAGCACAUGGCACAAAGCAAGAACCAGCCCCGGACAGGACGCCAUUCCAUCACAGGUGCACUCACACCCACCAGCACUCACUCAGACUGGGCCCAUUUAGACACACCGAUUCAUCCAACAUGCAUAUCUCUGGGGUGUGGAAGGAAACUGGAUUACCUGGUGAAAACCCACACAGACAUGGGGAGAACAUGCCAGCUCUACACAAACAGUGGCCUGGUGGGGAAUCAAUUUUUUUUUUCUUAUCAGUGUUAUAAAUGAAACAGUGUUGAAGUAAAGGACCUGCUCUACAUUCCAGAAGAGUGAAAAAGCAAACGUAAAAAAGUAUACUUACAGGGGAAGAGAAGCAUAAAAGUCAAGGAAGAAAAGACAAAUGGAUCUAACUGCAUACAGAUUCAAACUUUUGUAUUUCAAAAGUCCUGUAGACAUAAAUUCAUCCUCUAAGGUACCAUAGGAGGUUUCUGAAUAGUAAGAGCUAACAUGUAUUGAAUGCUCACCAGGCACUCUGCUAUGUACUUAAUUUGCUUAUUUUAUUUAAUUCUCACAAGAAUAUUAUGAUUCUACCACAGUUUACUUUUCUCUCCUAUCAUUAGAUGAUAAUUAUUUAUUCUAAUAGAGGGACACUAUAACUAUGAACCUCUAGCUCAGAGGUGCCCGGGAUUUUGCAGCAGUUAGUCGUGGAGCUGAGCUGAAAUGGGUGGUCUCUGUCAAGCCCUCGUCGAUUUACCCAGGAUACUUACUCCUCAUUCUCCCUUUGCAGUGCUUCCUCAGCCAUAAGACUGGCCUGCUUGGCAGUCAUCUGCCCAUCCAUUACUGUGGAAUAGCGUAUCUCACUCCUAUCUCACUCAUCCCGAGGCCAAAGGCUACAGUUUCAUGAACACUGGUUCCCUCUGACUUUUCCUCUAUUGUCUAAGCCAACCCAGGAAAAGGCACCAUAGAAACAGAAAAUAUUAUUAAAGCUCAUAUCACAAAUCCAGGGAUCAUUUCCACUGAGCUGAGACAGAAAACUGAUAUGUUUAUCAGAAAAGAUAACACUUGUCUACAAAGAGUGCUUUCCAGGCCAUAGGAUAAACAGAGGGAGCCGCCAGCUUGACCUCUAGGCAGGGCGUCUGCACGAGGCUGGAGAGUCCGUGCUCUGUCCACCUCCAACAAAAACAGGCUGCUGACUUCAUCCAGCUUCCAGUCCUUUCCCAGACAGGUCCCAGCUCUCGGCCACAGGCUUCCUCCUCUACACAUUUUUAUUAUAAGAAGAUAUUCAAGAAUAAUUAACAAAGUAGAAAUAAAUGAUUUCUCAGAAAAGAUUUAAAAGGCUAAAUAUGUAUAAUGUAAUUAAACAAUGACUAACACUGGCCCCUUCAACAACUUGGCAAUUCCCUUGGGCGAAGGCAUUGUUUAGGCUGGCCUAUGGGCCAAGGAUCACGAGAUGACUCACCCCAACAUGGCCCUCAUCUGUCAGACGCCUCUUCUCCAUUUACUUGUGGAAACAGCAUAGACCUAGACCUGAGUUCAAAUCCUGACUCUGCCACUUAUUUGGCAUGUAGUCUUUAGCAAAAUCCUUAGCCUAAGACUUAAUCCUAACUCUCAGUUUCAUUACCUGUGAAAUGGCAAUAAUAUUUCCUAACUCUUAGAAAUGUUUUGAUGAUUAGUGAUCAUAAAGUAUUCAAGAAAUGUUAUUAGCUUAUUUUCAGAAUUGAGCUUAUUAUUUCCUCAUUCCUACUAUUUUCUCCCAACUCCCCUUUCUGACUCUCUUUUUCUUAAUAGAAAAUUAUCAUAGUAAUAAAUUCACAUGGAUUAAGAAAAAAAGUAAUACUAAAGGGGUAAUGAUAAAAAGCAAGAGUCACAUCUCUCACCCUUUUCAAACUGAGCCUUACUCUACAAAAGUAACUAUUUUUAACAUUUUCUUCUGGUAGUUAUCUCCAUAUUUCAGAUAAUAUGCUUAUAUAAGUUUUUCAUUUUUAAAUAAAAUUUGUACAUGCUAAAUAAAAUUCCAAAAAAAAAGUGCAAAACGGACCAUGUGUGCUUGCCAUGAACACGUGCCUCUCAGGUAUUUGAGUGAUUGACCAAGGGCCCCAGUGCUAUAUUCUGAAAUCCAUCCCCACACACAGAGGCCAUGAUUCAAGGGUGUGAGGGAUACUAAGGCAGGACCAUUCUUGGGAGAUGAGGGACUCCUUAGAAGAGCAACUUUGGCUUGAGCACUGUCCAUCAGCUUUGCUGAAACCUCCUUAGACUGCACCACAUCUAACAUUUUUCCUACCCAACCUUCCUUCUUUCACAGACUUGCAUCAUGGUCUCCAGAGGAGACUCAGUCUCCUGGGCUCUUCCACCUCCCUCCCCAUUUUCCCUCACAGAUGUUCCCCAAUAAAUCUCUUGCACUUAUCCUGCCUUGACAUCAGCUCCUUGGAAGACCUGAACUAACACAGUGGUGCCAAGAGUGGUCUGAGAAUAGGGGCAAUAAAAUGAGGUUCUGAGACUGACUCCCAAAAGACAAGUGAGCAAAGAGGACACUAUCCUGAAUGUUGUGUGUAGCACAGAUGGUCUCCAACAUGCAGUGGUGAUCUAAUCACUGGAAAAUGUCUCCAUGAAGGGAGAUGUCAUGGCAGAUGCAAUGAGUCAAGCAUUUGAAAAACUUUGGGGGAAACAGUGUCUACAAAGACAGUGGGGUGUCCAGUUAUAGCUAAAAUGUACUGACUCCCUGCAGAGAGAUUAUAAGGAACAAGGGCCAUUAAUAAGCAGUUGAAGACUAAAUGUGAGAGCCAGAAGGCCUCUUUGGUAGCUUACAAAGAUGCAGCUAAGAAUAGAAUGAG
rnacentral:lncRNA from 1 species